GUGUUGGAUGAAAGGGAGAGACUAGCACUGCCCUUGACAAGGAUGGGGGAGGCCCUUGGACCUAACAACACGCACACGGUUAAGGCAUUGCCACUAUUUCGUGGCAUCUAACCAGAAGGAAAAUUUU